rnacentral:rRNA from 1 species
UACAGAGGUCUCAAGCGUUGUUCGGAUUCAUUGGGCGUAAAGGGUGCGUAGGCGGCGCGGUAAGUCGGGUGUGAAAUCUCGGGGCUUAACUCCGAAACUGCAUUCGAUACUGCCGUGCUUGAGGACUGGAGAGGAGACUGGAAUUUACGGUGUAGCGGUGAAAUGCGUAGAGAUCGUAAGGAAGACCAGUGGCGAAGGCGAGUUUCUGGACAGUUACUGACGCUGAGGCACGAAGGCCAGGGGAGCAAACGGG